AUUGCACGCUGGCGGCAGGCCUAACACAUGCAAGUCGAACGAGUAGCGGACGGGUGAGUAAUGUCUGGGAAACUGCCUGAUGGAGGGGGAUAACUACUGGAAACGGUAGCUAAUACCGCAUACCAUCGGAUGUGCCCAGAUGGGAUUAGCUAGUAGGUGGGGUAACGGCUCACCUAGGCGACGAUCCCUACCUGGUCUGCGAGGAUGACAAGCAAUAAGGGAACUGAGACAAGGUCCAGACUCCUACGGGAGGCAGCAGUGGGGAAUAUGGCACAAUGGGCGCAAGCCUGAUGCAGCCAUGCCGCGUGUGUGAAGAAGGCCUUCGGGUUGUAAAGCACUUUCAGCGAGGAGGCGUUACUCGCAGAAGAAGCACCGGCUAACUCCGUGCCAGCAGCCGCGGUAAUUC
rnacentral:rRNA from 1 species